GAUGAACGCUGGCGGCGUGCCUAAUACAUGCAAGUCGAGCGAACGGACGAGAAGCUUGCUCCUCUGAUGUUAGCGGCGGACGGGUGAGUAAAACGUGGAUAACCUACCUAUAAGACUGGGAUAACUUCGGGAAACCGGAGCCAAUACCGGAUCAUACUUUCAACCGCAUGGUUCAAAAGUGAAAGACGGUCUUGCUGUCACUUAUAGACGGAUCCGCGCUGCAUUAGCUAGUUGGUAAGGUAACGGCUUACCAAGGCAACGAUGCAUAGCCGACAUGAGAGGGUGAUCGGCCACACUGGAACUGAGACACGGUCCAGACUCCUACGGGAGGCAGCAGUAGGGAAUCUUCCGCAAUGGGCGGAAGCCUGACGGAGCAACGCCGCGUGAGUGAUGAAGGUCUUCGGAUCGUAAAACUCUGUUAUUAGGAAAGAACAGAUGUGUAAGUAACUGUGCACAUCUUGACGGUACCUAAACAGAAAGCCACGGCUAACUACGUG
rnacentral:rRNA from 1 species